rnacentral:rRNA from 1 species
AUUGAACGCUGGCGGUAGGCUUAACACAUGCAAGUCGUGCGAGAAAGUAUCUUCGGAUAUGAGUAGAGCGGCGGACGGGUGAGUAACGCGUAGGAAUCUACCUAGUAGAAGGGGAUAGCCCGGGGAAACCCGGAUUAAUACCGUAUACCUCCUUCGGGAGAAAGAAGGCCUCUCUUUGAAGCUUUCGCUAUUAGAUGAGCCUGCGUAAGAUUAGCUUGUUGGUGAGGUAAAGGCUCACCAAGGCGACGAUCUUUAGCUGGUCUGAGAGGACGAUCAGCCACAUUGGGACUGAGACACGGCCCAGACUCCUACGGGAGGCAGCAGUGGGGAAUAUUGGACAAUGGGCGCAAGCCUGAUCCAGCCAUACCGCGUGUGUGAAGAAGGCCUUCGGGUUGUAAAGCACUUUAAGCAGGGAGAAAAAGUUAUAAGUUAAUACCUUAUAACCUUGAUGUUACCUGCAGAAUAAGCACCGGCUAAUUCCG